UACGUAGGGUGCGAGCGUUGUCCGGAAUUACUGGGCGUAAAGAGCUCGUAGGUGGUUUGAUAAGGGUGUGGUGAAAGUCCGGGGCUCAACCCCGGAUCUGCCGUGCUGGAGUGUGGGAGAGGUGCGUGGAAUUCCCGGUGUAGCGGUGAAAUGCGUAGAUAUCAGGAGGAACACCGGUGGCGAAGGCGGGUCUCUGGGCCAAUACUGACGCUGAGGAGCGAAAGCGUGGGGAGCGAACAGG
rnacentral:rRNA from 1 species